rnacentral:rRNA from 1 species
AAAGAUCUAAAUAGACUUUACAGUUUUUGUUUCAAAAAAAUUUUUUAAGUUUAUUUAGUUGUGAAAUUCUUAUCGCUUUUAUUUAUAUCUAGUAACUUUAGAAAAAAAUUUAGUUUAAAAUGAUUAGGAUAAUUUUAUUUAAAAUUUAUUUUUAAUUCAUUUUUAAAUUUUUGGGGAUGAGCUCAAAAAUUUAUAUAAAAGAAAAAAGAACUCUAAUUUUUAUAUAGGCUUAGAAUUAGCCAUAAAAUAUUGUUAUAAAAUAUAACUUUAGAAAUAAGAUUUAUUUUUCUUUUUAUAUUAUAAAGUUAAUAAUAGAAUUUUUUUUAUUUUGUAAAUAUGGUAAUAUUAGUAGAUAAAAUUUUAAAGAUUAUUUUUUAAAAUCUUCUUAAAUUUUUUUUAUAAUUAAUAUAACAAAAGAACUCGGCAAAUAUAAUUUCCGAAUGUUUAACAAAAACAUUUCUUCUUAGCUUAAGAAGUAAGGCCUGCUCACUGAAGAUUUAAAGAGCCGCAGUAUUCUAACUGUGCUAAGGUAGCAUAAUCAUUAGUCUUUUAAUUGGAGACUGGUAUGAAUGGCUAAACGAGAAAUUAACUUUUUUUGUUAUAAAAAUCAAAUUUAAUUUUUUAGUGAAAAAGCUAAAAUUUUUCAGAAAGACGAGAAGACCCUAUAGAGUUUUAUAUUAAUUUUAUAUUAAUUUUUAAUAGAUUUUUAAAAAAUAAGUAUAAAAAAAUAUUUUGUUGGGGCGACAUUUAGAUAAAAAAAACUCUUUUUUUUAAAAAUUUUUAUAAAAAUAUUUUUUGAUCCUUUAAAAAAGAUCAAAAGAAAAAAUUACCUUAGGGAUAACAGCGUAAUCUUUUUUUAGAGUUCUAAUCGACAAAAAGGUUUGCGACCU